rnacentral:rRNA from 1 species
UACGAAGGGGGCUAGCGUUGCUCGGAAUUACUGGGCGUAAAGCGCACGUAGGCGGUCUUUUAAGUCGGUGGUGAAAUCCUGGAGCUCAACUCCAGAACUGCCUUCGAUACUGGAGAGCUUGAGUCCGGGAGAGGUGAGUGGAACUGCGAGUGUAGAGGUGAAAUUCGUAGAUAUUCGCAAGAACACCAGUGGCGAAGGCGGCUCACUGGCCCGGUACUGACGCUGAGGUGCGAAAGCGUGGGGAGCAAACAGG